rnacentral:rRNA from 1 species
UAGGGAAUCUUCCACAAUGGACGCAAGUCUGAUGGAGCAACGCCGCGUGAGUGAAGAAGGUUUUCGGAUCGUAAAGCUCUGUUGUUGGUGAAGAAGGAUAGAGGCAAGUAACUGGUCUUUAUUUGACGGUAAUCGACCAGAAAGUCACGGCUAACUACGUGCCAGCAGCCGCGGUAAUACGUAGGUGGCAAGCGUUGUCCGGAUUUAUUGGGCGUAAAGCGAGCGCAGGCGGAAUGAUAAGUCUGAUGUGAAAGCCCACGGCUCAACCGUGGAACUGCAUCGGAAACUGUCAUUCUUGAGUGCAGAAGAGGAGAGUGGAACUCCAUGUGUAGCGGUGGAAUGCGUAGAUAUAUGGAAGAACACCAGUGGCGAAGGCGGCUCUCUGGUCUGCAACUGACGCUGAGGCUCGAAAGCAUGGGUAGCGAACGAGGAUUAGAUACCCUGGUAGUCCAUGCCGUAAA